AUUCAACUGACGAGUCCCAAAUAGGAUGAAAUGCGCAUUUUAGAU
rnacentral:hammerhead_ribozyme from 1 species